rnacentral:rRNA from 1 species
GAAGGUGUGCUGUGAGGCAUGCUGGAGGUAUCAGAAGUGCGAAUGCUGACAUAAGUAACGAUAAAGCGGGUGAAAAGCCCGCUCGCCGGAAGACCAAGGGUUCCUGUCCAACGUUAAUCGGGGCAGGGUGAGUCGACCCCUAAGGCGAGGCCGAAAGGCGUAGUCGAUGGGAAACAGGUUAAUAUUCCUGUACUUGGUGUUACUGCGAAGGGGGGACGGAGAAGGCUAUGUUGGCCGGGCGACGGUUGUCCCGGUUUAAGCGUGUAGGCUGGUUUUCCAGGCAAAUCCGGAAAAUCAAGGCUGAGGCGUGAUGACGAGGCACUACGGUGCUGAAGCAACAAAUGCCCUGCUUCCAGGAAAAGCCUCUAAGCAUCAGGUAACAUCAAAUCGUACCCCAAACCGACACAGGUGGUCAGGUAGAGAAUACCAAGGCGCUUGAGAGAACUCGGGUGAAGGAACUAGGCAAAAUGGUGCCGUAACUUCGGGAGAAGGCACGCUGAUAUGUAGGUGAAGUCCCUUGCGGAUGGAGCUGAAAUCAGUCGAAGAUACCAGCUGGCUGCAACUGUUUAUUAAAAACACAGCACUGUGCAAACACGAAAGUGGACGUAUACGGUGUGACGCCUGCCCGGUGCCGGAAGGUUAAUUGAUGGGGUCAGCGCAAGCGAAGCUCUUGAUCGAAGCCCCGGUAAACGGCGGCCGUAACUAUAACGGUCCUAAGGUAGCGAAAUUCCUUGUCGGGUAAGUUCCGACCUGCACGAAUGGCGUAAUGAUGGCCAGGCUGUCUCCACCCGAGACUCAGUGAAAUUGAACUCGCUGUGAAGAUGCAGUGUACCCGCGGCAAGACGGAAAGACCCCGUGAACCUUUACUAUAGCUUGACACUGAACAUUGAGCCUUGAUGUGUAGGAUAGGUGGGAGGCUUGGAAGUGUGGACGCCAGUCUGCAUGGAGCCGACCUUGAAAUACCACCCUUUAAUGUUUGAUGUUCUAACGUUGACCCGUAAUCCGGGUUGCGGACAGUGUCUGGUGGGUAGUUUGACUGGGGCGGUCUCCUCCUAAAGAGUAACGGAGGAGCACGAAGGUUGGCUAAUCCUGGUCGGACAUCAGGAGGUUAGUGCAAUGGCAUAAGCCAGCUUGACUGCGAGCGUGACGGCGCGAGCAGGUGCGAAAGCAGGUCAUAGUGAUCCGGUGGUUCUGAAUGGAAGGGCCAUCGCUCAACGGAUAAAAGGUACUCCGGGGAUAACAGGCUGAUACCGCCCAAGAGUUCAUAUCGACGGCGGUGUUUGGCACCUCGAUGUCGGCUCAUCACAUCCUGGGGCUGAAGUAGGUCCCAAGGGUAUGGCUGUUCGCCAUUUAAAGUGGUACGCGAGCUGGGUUUAGAACGUCGUGAGACAGUUCGGUCCCUAUCUGCCGUGGGCGCUGGAGAACUGAGGGGGGCUGCUCCUAGUACGAGAGGACCGGAGUGGACGCAUCACUGGUGUUCGGGUUGUCAUGCCAAUGGCACUGCCCGGUAGCUAAAUGCGGAAGAGAUAAGUGCUGAAAGCAUCUAAGCACGAAACUUGCCCCGAGAUGAGUUCUCCCUGACCCUUUAAGGGUCCUGAAGGAACGUUGAAGACGACGACGUUGAUAGGCCGGGUGUGUAAGCGCAGCGAUGCGUUGAGCUAACCGGUACUAAUGAACCGUGAGGCUUAACCUUACAACGCCGAAG